UUCUCUGAUGUUAGCGGCGGACGGGUGAGUAACACGUGGAUAACCUACCUAUAAGACUGGGAUAACUUCGGGAAACCGGAGCUAAUACCGGAUAAUAUUUUGAACCGCAUGGUUCAAAAGUGAAAGACGGUCUUGCUGUCACUUAUAGAUGGAUCCGCGCUGCAUUAGCUAGUUGGUAAGGUAACGGCUUACCAAGGCAACGAUGCAUAGCCGACCUGAGAGGGUGAUCGGCCACACUGGAACUGAGACACGGUCCAGACUCCUACGGGAGGCAGCAGUAGGGAAUCUUCCGCAAUGGGCGAAAGCCUGACGGAGCAACGCCGCGUGAGUGAUGAAGGUCUUCGGAUCGUAAAACUCUGUUAUUAGGGAAGAACAUAUGUGUAAGUAACUGUGCACAUCUUGACGGUACCUAAUCAGAAAGCCACGGCUAACUACGUGCCAGCAGCCGCGGUAAUACGUAGGUGGCAAGCGUUAUCCGGAAUUAUUGGGCGUAAAGCGCGCGUAGGCGGUUUUUUAAGUCUGAUGUGAAAGCCCACGGCUCAACCGUGGAGGGUCAUUGGAAACUGGAAAACUUGAGUGCAGAAGAGGAAAGUGGAAUUCCAUGUGUAGCGGUGAAAUGCGCAGAGAUAUGGAGGAACACCAGUGGCGAAGGCGACUUUCUGGUCUGUAACUGACGCUGAUGUGCGAAAGCGUGGGGAUCAAACAGGAUUAGAUACCCUGGUAGUCCACGCCGUAAACGAUGAGUGCUAAGUGUUAGGGGGUUUCCGCCCCUUAGUGCUGCAGCUAACGCAUUAAGCACUCCGCCUGGGGAGUACGACC
rnacentral:rRNA from 1 species